GACGAAGGGGGCUAGCGUUGUUCGGAAUUACUGGGCGUAAAGCGCACGUAGGCGGGUUGUUAAGUCAGGGGUGAAAUCCUGGAGCUCAACUCCAGAACUGCCUUUGAUACUGGCAACCUAGAGACUGGAAGAGGUUAGUGGAAUUCCCAGUGUAGAGGUGAAAUUCGUAGAUAUUGGGAAGAACACCAGUGGCGAAGGCGGCUAACUGGUCCAGCACUGACGCUGAGGUGCGAAAGCGUGGGGAGCAAACAGG
rnacentral:rRNA from 1 species